rnacentral:rRNA from 1 species
CGUGUAGGCGGGUUAUUAAGUCAGAUGUGAAAUACCGAGGCUCAACCUCGGGGCUGCAUUUGAAACUGAUAAUCUUGAGUGCUGGAGAGGGAAGCGGAAUUCCUAGUGUAGCGGUGAAAUGCGUAGAUAUUAGGAGGAACACCAGUGGCGAAGGCGGCUUUCUGGACAGUAACUGACGCUGAGGCGCGAAAGGCGUGGGGAGCAAACAGGAUUAGAUACCCUGGUAGUCCACGCUGUAAACGAUGGAUACUAGGUGUAGGGGGUAUCGACCCCCCCUGUGCCGGAGUUAACACAAUAAGUAUCCCACCUGGGGAGUACGGCCGCAAGGUUGAA